rnacentral:rRNA from 1 species
CAGCAGCCGCGGUAAAACGUAGGGUGCAAGCGUUAAUCGGAAUUACUGGGCGUAAAGCGUGCGCAGGCGGUUAUAUAAGACAGAUGUGAAAUCCCCGGGCUCAACCUGGGAACUGCAUUUGUGACUGUAUAGCUAGAGUACGGCAGAGGGGGAUGGAAUUCCGCGUGUAGCAGUGAAAUGCGUAGAUAUGCGGAGGAACACCGAUGGCGAAGGCAAUCCCCUGGGCCUGUACUGACGCUCAUGCACGAAAGCGUGGGGAGCAAACAGGAUUAGAUACCCCAGUAGUCCCUGUCUCUUAUAC